UCCCUGGUGGUCUACUGGUUAGGAUUCAGCACUUUCACUGCCAUGGUCCAGAUUCAAUCCCUGGUUGGGGAA
rfam:TPA: Bos taurus chromosome 18, whole genome shotgun sequence.